GAUUGAUAGGUGCUAGGUAGCCAGAGAACAGUGUGAAGAGCAUAAAAAGAAUGGGCAAGGCACAGCAGUAAAGAGACAGAGUGCUCUAAAUCCAAGAACUGUGCAUUAUUCUGCAUAGGUGAAGAGUAGAGUGGAUGUGGGAAGUCAUAAGGGCUGAGACUAGAGAUGUAGGCAGGGACAAGAUGAUGCAAAGUCUCAUACAACAUUCUGAGGAAGACGUUUACCCUGAAAGAAAAACCCCACUCUUCUGGUCUGUAGCACGUGUUCUAUUAUUUUAAGGAACAUUGCUACCAAGAACAUCAAGAAGAGCUGCUGAAUGAUAGGCAUUUGGAGAGCAGUUUGCCAGGAAAGCCGCUGUCUCAAGAAUAUCAAGGAGCGGAGUCUUUCCAGACCACAACUCCUCGCUCCAGGCGUUCGAAUCUGCCUCAAACAAAAGAGGAGACAACGGCGAAGGACGCCCCCCUGCCAUCCUCCUAUCUCACCAUGGCUCCCGCCUCGCUGCAAGCAGCCCCUCAAGGCCAAACGCAGGCUGGUGGGAAAACACCGACCUGCACAAGCUACAUGCGCCCUCUCCCCUACCCAAAACCCCGAAUAAAAAUCCCUACCCAUCCCUCAUCGGGGAGCUAGAAAUUUUUGAGGCAUGAGCCCCAGCUUUGCUCCCUAUGCCUGGCAUAGUAAAAAC
rnacentral:lncRNA from 1 species